AACAACAACACAGCCGUUACUAUGUAAACAUUAACAGUGGACCUGUCUCAAUCUAUCACGGAAAGAAUUUUACAAGAUGUUACUUUAAAAGGAAGAAAUGGGAGGAGCACUGACUUACGACUGAAAGGUUUGGGAUGUUUGUAUUUUUCCUUUGGGUCUUUGUGGCUUACAGAAUGGAACACACAACACGAUGCAAUGCUCCUGCUUGUUUUCCAGUUGGAAUACUGAGGCUGACUGGAGGAAUAUCUGUGUUUGAAUGCAGUUAUUUCCCAUCUGGAUUCUGAUUAAGUCCUGUUACAUGGUGCUUCAACUCAGUCCAGGGACUGAAGACUGUAAACGUGCUGCAUCAGUUCCUCCUAAAUGCCCUUUGGCACUUGACAAAUUUAUGCCUUACUACUGGUCUUGUUGUUCAUGGGGAAGCAGAAAUCCCAGAUAUUGUGCUGUACGUCGUACUGAUCUUUGUCCAAAGUACUUCAAAGGGAGGACAAUAUAUUAUUUCAGAAGACACAGGUGAAUACAUUGGGUAAGUUGUUUCAUUCUUUGCUUAGUAUUUUAUCCUUUUAUUUUUUUAAAAAAGCAUGCUUAAUUAAAAUAAGAUCUUAACACCAGAUCAGCCUCUUUUGUGUAUGAUGCAUUAUGUCAGAAAUUAUUAGAAAGGCCAAAGAAACACAAUCAUGGUUAAGAAAACUGAGUUGAUAAUUAUUCUUUAAUGAAUAGACUAGUAGAAAAUAUAGAAAAGUCUACAUAUUAACAUUGCUGUUUGAAAGGAAAUAAUACCUUCCUUCUGAAAAUCUUUCUACUUUGCCAAAUCCUGGAACAGGAAUAAAUAUGUUCUUUGCGCAGUGUUAGUAACAUGUCUCAUCAUGCCUUUUUAAGUUAACAAGGAGAUAGACAGCAUUCACUUGUUACUCUCUGGAAAAGUGAUCUCAUCUUCAAUGUAGAUGGAUAGAGGUUUUUCUGGUUUACUGUUUGUUUGUUUUUAACCUUCCUUUUGUCUUAUUCCUGUCACAAUUUUCUAAGGAAUAGAGAGCAGCUGGUAAGUAAGCUGUCUGCUUCUGCCUGCUAAUGACCUCAGUUGGGGUUGUUUGAAGAAACAGCAUUCCAGGAGAGUCUGAUCAUCCUUCUUGAGAGCUCUCGUUGAUUUUAGUAUUCAUGUAAUACUGUAAUAAAUAUAGCAGCUAAAGACAAGGCUAAUCCAAGAGCGAGAGGUUAUUCGUAUCAGCAUUAACUACGCUGUCCUGUGUGCCUAUUUUGGAGCAGCAGUUAGUCACUAUUCAGCUACAAUAAGCUCUCUGCUAAAGGAAGAAAGCAUAUCACCUAUUCUCUGGUAAGCUGCUACUUGGUCUUUUUCAUGCCUUAGAUUUGGACUAGAGUAGCUUCCCUCUGAAAUAUCCUCCAUGACUUGCUUUGGGAUGGGGACAGAGUACAGGGGAUGGAGCAGAUCCCUUGUCCAAGAAAACCAGUCUCUGACCACAGGACUGUGAACGGAGCAUGUUAAGUAUUAAUUCAUCAAAAGAUUUUUAUAAGCAUAAAAUUUAAAAACUAAAAGGAAAGCUGAUGUUUUCUAUUGAGUGGGAUAUUUUUUUUAGAGGAGACCAAGUUGAUUCUUUUUUCAAAUUUUUAUUUUAUGCUAUGCCUUCCUAAAGGAUAAUCUUGUUUUGUUUGCUUGACCUCCUCUCAAAAUGGAAAUGUUUAACAGUAUUAUUUGCCAUGAAACCUGUGCUCAGCAACAUUAUUUUUAAGUUUUAUUUACCUGUUUUGGCCAUGUUGAAAACUGUUGAAAUCUGAUUUCAUUCUCCAGCAAGUAUUAAUAUAAAGAGAUAUAAUUGUUGGUUACUGCUUUUAUUUUAUCUUAUUUUUUCUAUGUACUACACACACGAAAAAAAUAUUGCCAGAGUGUUCUUGAAGAAGAUACUGAGAUUUCUCACAAUUUUUAAAAUGACUUUAUACGCAUAUAUUGAAUUCUAAUGCAAACAGAAUCUAGCCUUUGUUUUAAAGUGUUGUAAGUGGCAUCUAUAACAUCAUUUUCUAACUGCAUUUAGAAAACCUUUUUAAUAUUGUCUGGUUUGAAUUUGCUGUGUUUGUUGAUGUCAUAGCUGACUUCUGUCGUUAAGAAAUUAUUUGGCAGUAGACAACAAUCAACGUAAUUUAAAAAGCAUUGAACUGUUUGAAAUAACAUUAGGGAUGUGACAUUCUAAAUGCCCUCAGUUUACAAGAGAAUCUGUUGGAAGGAGCUAUGUUUGGUAUCAGAGAGAUUCUCCGAGUUACAAAAUAGUUAUUUACUGUUUCUUGAACUAAAAGGUUGGAGUUUCAAAGCAGCCUAGGAUAGAUGCAGUUUAUUCCCGUGGGAAGUCUCUGUGAGCAGUUUUAAAGACAUCACAUUUCUGUAACCCCAGACCAAGCAUUGCUUAAUCAUUUGGCAAAGGUUAAUUACCUUCUGAAGAAGGAAGCAAUCAUUCAUUAGGCUGUAGAUUCCUGAAAGAUGGGAACUGUUUGAGAAAACCCUGCCGUGACACACUAGCCCUGCACUAAUUUAUGGAAGAACUAUCUUUGAUUCAGCUUUUGUUUUCAACUAUUAGCAAGCUGUUCUUUUCACCUUUAUGUAGGACUUGUGGUGGUGGCUUCACAAAA